GCUGGGCGUGGUGGUGCAUGCCUGUAAUCCUAGCUACUUGGGAGGCUGAGGCAGGAGAAUCACUUGAACCCGGGAGGCAGAGGUUGCAGUGAGCCAAGAUCGUGCCAUUGCACUCCAGCCUGGGUGACAGAGUAAGACUCUGUCUCAA
rnacentral:SRP_RNA from 1 species